GACGAACGCUGGCGGCGUGCUUAACACAUGCAAGUCGAACGCUGAAGCUUGGUGCUUGCACUGGGUGGAUGAGUGGCGAACGGGUGAGUAAUACGUGAGUAACCUGCCCUUGACUCUGGGAUAAGCCUGGGAAACUGGGUCUAAUACUGGAUACGACAUGCCACUGCAUGGUGGUGUGUGGAAAGGGUUUUACUGGUUUUGGAUGGGCUCACGGCCUAUCAGCUUGUUGGUGGGGUAAUGGCCUACCAAGGCGACGACGGGUAGCCGGCCUGAGAGGGUGACCGGCCACACUGGGACUGAGACACGGCCCAGACUCCUACGGGAGGCAGCAGUGGGGAAUAUUGCACGAUGGGCGGAAGCCUGAUGCAGCGACGCCGCGUGAGGGAUGACGGCCUUCGGGUUGUAAACCUCUUUCAGCACGGAAGAAGCGAGAGUGACGGUACGUUCAGAAGAAGCGCCGGCUAACUACGUG
rnacentral:rRNA from 1 species